CAUGGAGUAUGUAUAAGGAGACCGAACUAGGUCUGGAUCACGUCACCGAAAGUGGGCCGACAUUUUUGCCAUCCAGUGAAUCAAAAUUUUGCCACUUGUAGCGCUGGCGUCGCCUUACGCGAUUAAGAAUUCGCUCAUGAGUUACCGAUCUUGAUCUCACUGGAUCGUAGAUACAGCGUAUAGCAGGGGCCUUGAGAAUACGGACGUGGAACCAAUUGAGGAUAUCUUGAAGAGGGAGGAUUGGGAUAAACUUUACCUGAUCAGUUUAUUAGAAGGACAGGAAGGACGGUGUGAACAAGAAGACACGCUUAAGAAUCACGCUAAAUAACCUAACGGUUGACGGCGUUCCCGCAGAGGGAAAAUACAAAAUUUCAGAAUGAGAAAAAAAUGUUCCUACCCGCAUUGCCUGACAGGCUCGGCAGCAAACCACAAACACAAUGUGGCCCAUCUAAAGAAAAAAGCUUUAUUUUGUGUCCCAAAGGAAAAAUCCUUUAUUUUCUAACUACGUUUCGGCCAUUGGUUUUGGCCCUCUUCAAGUGUACAAAUCAGCGUAUGACAUGUGGUU